UCAGACGAUGGAGAGGGCUCAUCCAAGCCCACGGAAAAGAGGAGGCGGGAACCUUUAGGAAACUUUUCUCCCGACAAGACAGAGGGGCAGAAGACGACCCAACGUCUCAUAGUGCACCUCCCCGGUCCCUAGCUUCGCAGCCCUUGGUCGAUCCAAGUGUCCCUAGUUUGUGGCCAGCAGCCCCUAGGGCCACUUCCGCGCGGGCAGGGGAAAAAGAAGCCGCUGCCCAGGGAGUUCCACUCGCGCUCUAGGGAACAGAGGCUGAGACAGGACUUUCAGAGCCCAGAAACUCUGCCCCCACUUGUCCUGGUCCUGCUGUUACUCUUCCUUACUCUUCCUCUGGCAAAGCACUGCUCUCCAUCCCACAUGCCAGGACUGCCAAUCAGGCUCUUCUCAGUCAACUGAGUAUCAGAUCAGCACCAUCAUCAGUGGUCAGAAGUGCCUGAGCAGUGAGGAAGGUCGGAGCCCAGGAAUGGAGCAACUACCCCAUCAUGGAGGAGGGGCCAUGAGGAUACGCCACAGAAGUAAUCACAGCAACUCCUGAAUUUAAAUAAGAAUCAUUCUGAGCGGCUCCAUCAGUAGCUCUCAGCAAAUUUCAUCUUCCCAGUCUUUGUGAGCAUCGCAUUCCCAGGACAGUUCCCAGGGCAAGGAACCCUACCACAUAAGGAAACUGAGGCAACAGAAAAGUUGGGAGCUCAGCAACUAAGGUAUACAGUGCCUGGAAAAGGAUGUCAUGGGAGAACUGAGGAGUGGACGUGUGCACUUGAAGAAGACUCUGGAAGGGCGCAGGUGCUUCUGUAGCCCAUCUUUGUAUCCUGGAGAAAUGGGAAGACCCA